AUCCAAUCCAGCUUGAGAGGGUCGUCAAUGCAGUUGUUUCACCUGUUGGACUUUAAAUAGGGAACGUAACGAGAUGCUAAUCGUUGCUUUCCAAUUACACCAAAAAGCGACACUGUGUAACGCAGUGUCGAAAAAGCGCUUUCCAUCAAAGACACUGUCAAACACAGAUGUAUUCUGCUCGACACUCGAAAAAGUCGUGUUUUGCAGUGUUUUACCCAGGAUUAACAACAAAAAAGAGAAGAAUUCUUUUCUCUGCUUAUGAUUUUUAAUUAUUCAGAUUGGUAUUAAAAAAACCACCAAAAUAAACUGAAGAAACAAGUAACAAUAACAUUACUUAACCUCGUAAUUUAUUUACGCCAUAUUUUAUUAGUAUCGUUAUUACAUAAAAAACAUUGUUAUUUUACUUCUAUAGUAACUUAAAUUGAGAUAUUCCUAUAUAAUUAUUAAUUAUCAAUUUACUAUUGGUUCAGUACAGAAAAUAAAUUAAAUUCCUUGGGA